CAACAAAGACGUCCAGCAGCGGGCAGCCAGGAGGAGCAGGCUGCAAGGAUUUCAAGGAGAAAGUGGGAGGCUGAGCAACAAACCCCGGGGUGGCUGAGGACUUUGGGGAUGGGGCAGAUGGUUGCAAGGAGGUGCCCUGCCCUCCCCUGUAUCUCAAGCUGCAGAGGCCAGCUCGGGCCCCAGAGCAAGGUGGAGGAUAUGGAGGAGAAAAAGUCUCUCCCGACGCAGCGAGCUGCUGGGAAGCUUGGUAUGAAGCAAAGUUGUGUUUCGAUCGGCUCUGUUCAACCCUCCCGCUUUCCUCUUCCAAGAUUUGCAAAGGCAAAAAAAGCGGAGAAAAAAAAAAAAAAAAGCCAAAAAAAGGCAAAAAAAAAAAAAAAGGCAAAAAAAAGAAAAAAGUUUUCUGCAAAGUUGGAGUGUUUUGUUGCAAAGUCUGCAGAGGAGCGGUAAAAAACAGGGGGAAGGGGGAAAAAAAAAAAAGAGAGGAAAAAAAAAAUCCACUUUGUA